rnacentral:lncRNA from 1 species
UCUGCAUAAAUAACAUUUUAAGAAAAGGCUAGUUUUACUAAUGUUAUUCAUCUUGAAAUUUAAUGAAAUACCAACCAUAUUUUUCAAAACUCAACUUUGUCUGUAUAUCAUUUCUGUCAAUUUCUUAAAUAACAUCUGUAUGCUACUAAGCAAAAAUAUACUUUGAUUUAUAUAUAAAAUGAGCUGCACCUUCUGAAAUGGAAUAUUUACAGUUAGUAUAUUAAGUCUCU